UACGAAGGGGGCUAGCGUUGUUCGGAAUCACUGGGCGUAAAGGGCGCGUAGGCGGCCUGAUAAGUCGGGGGUGAAAGCCUGUGGCUCAACCACAGAAUUGCCUUCGAUACUGUUAGGCCUGAGACCGGAAGAGGUAAGUGGAACUGCGAGUGUAGAGGUGAAAUUCGUAGAUAUUCGCAAGAACACCAGUGGCGAAGGCGGCUUACUGGUCCGGUUCGUGACGCUGAGGCGCGAAAGCGUGGGGAGCAAACAGG
rnacentral:rRNA from 1 species